GACAGAGGAUGCAAACGUUGCUCGGAAUUACUGGGCGUAAAGCGCGUGUAGGCGGUUUCGCGAGUCGGGUGUGAAAGCCCGGGGCUCAACCCCGGAAGUGCACUCGAUACUACGGAGCUGGAGUACUGAAGAGGAGAGCGGAAUUCCCGGUGUAGAGGUGAAAUUCGUAGAUAUCGGGAGGAGCACCAGUGGCGAAGGCGGCUCUCUGGGCAGAUACUGACGCUGAGACGCGAAAGCGUGGGGAGCAAACAGG
rnacentral:rRNA from 1 species